rnacentral:rRNA from 1 species
UACGUAGGGGGCAAGCGUUGUUCGGAAUUACUGGGCGUAAAGGGCGCGUAGGCGGCACAGCAAGUCGGGAGUGAAAGCCCGGGGCUCAACCCCGGAACGGCUUUCGAAACUGCUGAGCUAGAGUACAGAAGGGGCAACCGGAAUUCCCAGUGUAGCGGUGAAAUGCGUAGAUAUUGGGAAGAACACCUGAGGCGAAGGCGGGUUGCUGGGCUGAUACUGACGCUGAGGCGCGAAAGCCAGGGGAGCAAACGGG